AUUGAACGCUGGCGGCAGGCCUAACACAUGCAAGUCGAACGGUAACAGGAAACAGCUUGCUGUUUCGCUGACGAGUGGCGGACGGGUGAGUAAUGUCUGGGAAACUGCCUGAUGGAGGGGGAUAACUACUGGAAACGGUAGCUAAUACCGCAUAACGUCGCAAGACCAAAGAGGGGGACCUUCGGGCCUCUUGCCAUCGGAUGUGCCCAGAUGGGAUUAGCUAGUAGGUGGGGUAACGGCUCACCUAGGCGACGAUCCCUAGCUGGUCUGAGAGGAUGACCAGCCACACUGGAACUGAGAGACGGUCCAGACUCCUACGGGAGGCAGCAGUGGGGAAUAUUGCACAAUGGGCGCAAGCCUGAUGCAGCCAUGCCGCGUGUAUGAAGAAGGCCUUCGGGUUGUAAAGUACUUUCAGCGGGGAGGAAGGGAGUAAAGUUAAUACCUUUUCUCAUUGACGUUACCCGCAGAAGAAGCACCGGCUAACUCCGUG
rnacentral:rRNA from 1 species